rnacentral:rRNA from 1 species
GUGCCAGCCGCCGCGGUAAUACGUAGGUGGCUUGCGUUAUCCGGAAUUAUUGGGCGUAAAGCGCGCCAAGGCGGCAAGAUUAGUCUGAUGUGAAAGCCGGCGGCUCUUCCGGGGAGGGUCAUUGGAAACUGUCUUGCUUGAGUGCAGAAGAGGAGACUGGAAUUCCAUGUGUAGCGGUGAAAUGCGCAGAGAUAUGCAGGAACACCAGUGGCGAAGGCGGCUCCCUGGUCUGCAACUGACGCUGAUGUGCGAAAGCGUGGGGAUCAAACAGGAUUAGAAACCCCUGUAGUCC